rnacentral:rRNA from 1 species
CCUACGGGUGGCAGCAGUGAGGAAUAUUGGUCAAUGGGCGCGAGCCUGAACCAGCCAAGUCGCGUGAGGGAUGACGGUCCUACGGAUUGUAAACCUCUUUUGCCGGGGAGCAAGCGUGCGUUCGUGAACGCACGUCGAGAGUACCCGGAGAAAAAGCAUCGGCUAACUCCGUGCCAGCAGCCGCGGUAAUACGGAGGAUGCGAGCGUUAUCCGGAUUUAUUGGGUUUAAAGGGUGCGUAGGCGGGCUGUUAAGUCAGCGGUAAAAGCCCGGGGCUCAACCCCGGCGAGCCGUUGAAACUGGCUGUCUUGAGAUGUCGAGAGGUAUGCGGAAUGCGCAGUGUAGCGGUGAAAUGCUUAGAUAUUGCGCAGAACUCCGAUUGCGAAGGCAGCAUACCGGCGGCGAUCUGACGCUGAGGCACGAAAGCGUGGGUAUCGAACAGGAUUAGAUACCCCUGUAGUC